CCAAGGUAAGGCAGCAGGCACGCAAAUUACCCACUCCCGGCACGGGGAGGUAGUGACAAAAAAUAACGAUACGGGACUCAUCCGAGGCCCCGUAAUCGGAAUGAGAACACCCUAAAUCCUUUAACGAGGAUCUAUUGGAGGGCAAGUCUGGUGCCAGCAGCCGCGGUAAUUCCAGCUCCAAUAGCAGUAUAUUAAAGUUGUUGCGGUUAAAAAGCUCGUAGUUGGUUCUGCGUGCCACGCUGUCGGUUCACCGCCUGUCGGUGCAACUGGCAUGCCGUGGCAUGUCCUGUCGGUGGCCGACAGGCUUCGUGGCGCGCCCUAUGCGUUCGCGCGUGUAGGUCGUCGCGCCUCGUCGUCCUUGUAGGCCGGCUCAAUCCUACCGCGGUGCUCUUUGCCGAGUGUCGAGGUAGGCCGACACUGUUUACUUUGAACAAAUUAGAGUGCUUCAAGCAGGCUCUGAAAGCAGCCUGAAUAGUGGUGCAUGGAAUAAUGGAACAGGACCUUGGUUCUAUUUUGUUGGUUUUCGGAAUCCAAGGUAAUGAUCAAUAAGGACAGGCGGGGGCAUUCGUAUUGCGACGUUAGACUUGGCAAAUGCUUUCGCGGUGAAAUUCUUGGAUCGUCGCAAGACGCACUAGAGCGAAAGCAUUUGCCAAGUAUGUCUUAAUUGAUCAAGAACGAAAGUUAGAGGUUCGAAGGCGAUCAGAUACCGCCCUAGUUCUAACCAUAAACGAUGCCAGCCAGCGAUCCGCCGAUGUUCCUCCGAUGACUCGGCGGGGAGCUUUCCCCGGGAAACCAAAGCUUUUGGGUUCCGGGGGAAGUAUGGUUGCAAAGCUGAAACUUAAAGGAAUUGACGGAAGGGCACCACCAGGAGUGGAGCCUGCGGCUUAAUUUGACUCAACACGGGAAACCUCACCAGGCCCGGACAUUGGAAGGAUUGACAGAUCGAUAGCUCUUUCUCGAUUCAGUGGGUAGUGGUGCAUGGCCGUUCUUAGUUGGUGGACUGAUUUGUCUGGUUAAUUCCGAUAACGAACGAGACUCUGACCUAUUAACUAGGCGUUUCCGGUAUAAAUACCUACCGGCGAGAUUUAUUCUUCUU
rnacentral:rRNA from 1 species